GACGAACGCUGGCGGCGUGCUUAACACAUGCAAGUCGAACGGAAAGGCCCUGCUUUUGUGGGGUGCUCGAGUGGCGAACGGGUGAGUAACACGUGAGUAACCUGCCCUUGACUUUGGGAUAACUUCAGGAAACUGGGGCUAAUACCGGAUAGGAGCUCCUGCUGCAUGGUGGGGGUUGGAAAGUUUCGGCGGUUGGGGAUGGACUCGCGGCUUAUCAGCUUGUUGGUGGGGUAGUGGCUUACCAAGGCUUUGACGGGUAGCCGGCCUGAGAGGGUGACCGGCCACAUUGGGACUGAGAUACGGCCCAGACUCCUACGGGAGGCAGAAGUGGGGAAUAUUGAACGAUGGGCGGAAGCCUGAUGAAGAAACGCCGCGUGCGGGAUGACGGCCUUCGGGUUGUAAAACGCUUUCGCCUGUGACGAAGCGUGAGUGACGGUAAUGGGUAAAGAAGCACCGGCUAACUACGUG
rnacentral:rRNA from 1 species